AAUCAUUGAUGAGACUAUCCCGAACCUGAUUUCUUUGAUGAAAAAACUGCCAAUAUGGAUCCGGCUUCUGAGGU
ensembl:snoRNA